AGAGUUUGAUCAUGGCUCAGAUUGAACGCUGGCGGCAUGCUUUACACAUGCAAGUCGAACGGCAGCACGGGCUUCGGCCUGGUGGCGAGUGGCGAACGGGUGAGUAAUAUAUCGGAACGUACCCAAGAGUGGGGGAUAACGUAGCGAAAGUUACGCUAAUACCGCAUACGAUCUAAGGAUGAAAGCAGGGGACCGCAAGGCCUUGUGCUCCUGGAGCGGCCGAUAUCUGAUUAGCUAGUUGGUGAGGUAAAGGCUCACCAAGGCGACGAUCAGUAGCUGGUCUGAGAGGACGACCAGCCACACUGGAACUGAGACACGGUCCAGACUCCUACGGGAGGCAGCAGUGGGGAAUUUUGGACAAUGGGCGCAAGCCUGAUCCAGCAAUGCCGCGUGAGUGAAGAAGGCCUUCGGGUUGUAAAGCUCUUUUGUCAGGGAAGAAACGGUAGAGGCUAAUAUCCUUUGCUAAUGACGGUACCUGAAGAAUAAGCACCGGCUAACUACGUGCCAGCAGCCGCGGUAAUACGUAGGGUGCAAGCGUUAAUCGGAAUUACUGGGCGUAAAGCGUGCGCAGGCGGUUUUGUAAGUCUGUCGUGAAAGCCCCGGGCUCAACCUGGGAAUUGCGAUGGAGACUGCAAGGCUUGAAUCUGGCAGAGGGGGGUAGAAUUCCACGUAGCAGUGAAAUGCGUAGAGAUGUGGAGGAACACCGAUGGCGAAGGCAGCCCCCUGGGUCAAGAUUGACGCUCAUGCACGAAAGCGUGGGGAGCAAACAGGAUUAGAUACCCUAGUAGUCC
rnacentral:rRNA from 1 species